rnacentral:rRNA from 1 species
GCCCAGCGCUGAAUCCACUAGCAUUUCGCUAGCUGGAGUUGUAGCGUAUAGGUGCGGGUGCUCCGUGACUUCGCGCGCCCAAAGUUCCCUUGAGCGGGGCUACAGUCCGUAGAAGGUGCUAGACCUGUACGGGCGGCGGGGUUGCGGAUUGCUCGUUCCUCGGAGUCGGGUUGCCUGAGAUCGCAGCCCAAAGUGGGUGGUAAACCUCAUCUAAGGCUAAAUACGGCCACGAGACCGAUAGCAAACAAGUACCGUGAGGGAAAGUUGCAAAGAACUUUGAAGAGAGAGUUCAAGAGGGCGUGAAACCGCUGAGAAGGAAACGGAUAGAGUUGACGAAACUCGACGGCGUUCAUCCGGUCGGCCUAGCGGCGUCACGGCUUCGCGCCUCGAUGAGGGCGGAGACGAGGAGUGCUGCCGGGUGCGUGACUGGUGUAUUCGCCGUCGGUAUGCGCUGAGAGCUUGGGCGCGCGUGUGCUUGCGUACGCGUAGUGGACCACGUCCUCUGGGCGUGGAAACCUUCGCUUGCUAAGGCGUAUCGGUGCUCAGGUCUUCGAGUGUGUCUCGGCUAGUGUUGCGCAGCGGUUGCUGCUUGCUGGCACGGCUGUCGGGCGGUCGCGUGCGACUUGCCUAUGGCUGGCGUUAGCGGGUGGCGAUGCGGUUGCGUAGGGACGCAUUUCUCGGUGUAAACGUCGACCACCUAUCCGACCCGUCUUGAAACACGGACCAAGGAGUCUAGCAUAUGCGCGAGUCAUUGGGUGGUAAACCUAAAGGCACAAUGAAAGUAAAGGUCGCCUCGAUGCGGCUGAUAUGGGAUCCGUGCGGUCGCGACCGUACGGCGCACCAUAGCCCCGUCCUCGUCGCUUGCGAUAGGGCGGAGGAGGAGCGCAUACGCUGGGACCCGAAAGAUGGUGAACUAUGCCUGAGCAGGAUGAAGCCAGAGGAAACUCUGGUGGAGGUCCGAAGCGGUUCUGACGUGCAAAUCGAUCGUCUGACUUGGGUAUAGGGGC